rnacentral:rRNA from 1 species
GCAGCCGCGGUAAUACGGAGGAUCCGAGCGUUAUCCGGAUUUAUUGGGUUUAAAGGGUGCGUAGGCGGCCUGGUAAGUUAGAGGUGAAAUCCCAUCGCUCAACGAUGGACGUGCCUCUGAUACUGUUGGGCUAGCGAGAGAGUGCUGUGGGCGGAAUGUGUAGUGUAGCGGUGAAAUGCUUAGAGAUUACACAGAACACCGAUUGCGAAAGCAGCUCACAAACUCUUUUCGGACGCUGAGGCACGAAAGCGUGGGGAGCAAACAGGAUUAGAUACCCC